AUUGAACGCUGGCGGCAGGCCUAACACAUGCCAGUCGAGCGGAUGAAGGGAUCUUGCUCCUGGGUUCAGCGGCGGACGGGUGAGUAAUGCCUAUGAAUCUGCCUGGUAGUGGUGGAUAACGUCCGGAAACGGGCGCUAAUACCGCAUACGUCCUGAGGGAGAAAGUGGGGGAUCUUCGGACCUCACGCUAUCAGAUGAGCCUAGGUCGGAUUAGCUAGUUGGUGGGGUAAAGGCCUACCAAGGCGACGAUCCGUAACUGGUCUGAGAGGAUGAUCAGUCACAGUGGAACUGAGACACGGUCCAGACUCCUACGGGAGGCAGCAGUGGGGAAUAUUGGACAGUGGGCGAAAGCAUGAUCCAGCAAUGCCGCGAGUGUGAAGAAGGUAUUCGGAUUGUAAAGCACUUUGAGUUGGGGGGAAGGGCAGUAAGUUAAGACCUAGCUGUUUUGACGUUACCAACAGAAUAAGCACCGGCUAACUUCGUG
rnacentral:rRNA from 1 species